CAGGAGCUCUGAACUCUCCCUGCAUCCUUCUCCUCUCCAGGUGAGCACCCCCAGCUCUCCCAGCCUGGCUCCAGAGGGGCUCCAGCCCUUGGAGCAUCCCCAUGGCCUCUUCUGGAAUCCCUCCAGCGGCUCCGGGUCCUUCCUGUGCUGCGGCUCCCAGGGCUGGAUGCUCCAGGUGGGGUCCCAGUAAGAACACCCAGAGCAUUUCCAGCUUCUGCUGCUGGCAAGGCUCCCAACACCUCCCGCACCAUCCUGUUUUCCUGAUCAGAUUUUUCCUGACCAGAUUUCCUCACGUCCAUCUCCAGAAAACACAGUCCUGGGAUCAGAGGUGAUUUCAGGGCAGUCCAGGUGAUUGCUGGGCUGGGGAACAGCGAGCUGGAUCUUGGCAGCUCCGAGCAAAGACAAUUUUAGCUCCUUGCUGAGUGUGCACAGCCCGAGGCUGCAUCCCAAAGAUGCUUUACUUGGGUGGCUGCAGUGGAAACCGUUCCCUCUGGAGGCCGUGGCUGUGCCGGGCUGCGCGGGGAGGGAAUUGUGGAUGGAAUAAGCGGAUGUGAUGCCUGGGAGGAAGGAAGGAUGCCCAUUGUUCUGCCCGGGAUGAAGGGCUGCUGCUGCUGCUGAGUCAGGGCAGGGAGGAAGGGAAGCAGGAGCAGGAUGUGGAGUGCAGAUGCAUCCGUCCCUGAGGGGGGAACUCUGCUGAACCCUGAGUGUGCCCAGGGCUCUGCUCUGCCUCACCUGCUCUAAUGUUGGCAUUCAGCUCCCAACCUUCUCCUAACGCAGGGUAAACCCGCAGUAAAUCCCAGCCCCUGCCUUGUCCCGGGCUGCGCUGCAGCUGGGCAGUCACUGCUCAGAACCUUUCCACCGUUCAAGCUCUCAGUCCCGAAACAGCUUCGAGCAAAUCCAAAGGAAUCUCCUUUUUGUCUCGCCUUGGAGACUGAUAAAACAUUCAGAUCUUCCCCGGGGUGUGUGUCCCUGACCAAACACUGUGAGAGGAGCAUGGGGAGAGCCUCGGUGCUGCCCUGGUGUGUGCUGAUGCUGCAGAGAGCUCAGCUCUGCCUGGGAAUGCACGGGAGCAUCAGGGUGAUGAGCUCUGCCUGUGCUCUGAGCACACACUGCCCAUCCAGGGCCAGGAGGGAUCACAUUUCCCAGAUCUGCUGCUGAGAAUUUGCCAGAAGAAAAUUGUCUCUUUGGGGGUUGUUUGCCUGGAUCCAAAGGGGGAAUGAGCCCCACUGCUGGCAGGGAGGUCAGAGGGGCUCUCAGAGGGUCUGUCUGGAGUCCUGAUGGCCCCAGGACAGAAACUGCUCCUGCUCAGAGCAAAUAUUUUAGGAAUGUCCUUCUCUAUUUUUAUGUCUUUUUUUUUUUCCUCCAGUGUCUGCUGAGAACUUGAAGAAAAGCUUAAACAGGACAAGAGGAUGGAUUUUGAAUAUUCUGAACUUCCCAGCCGGCACAGAUAAGAGUGACAAAUCUGUGGGGGAAAAAUGACAAUAUCCUUUUGCUUUUAGGGAGAAAAACGUUCCAAAGAGGAUGUGAGCUACGACAAAAGGAGGCCUUGUCCACCCUUCACACAGGAGGUGCAAAUGUCACCUCAGCACUGAGCAGAUUAGGCUGGGUGCAGCCUUGAGUGCCCUUGAGCUUCUCUGGGCAGCUGUGCCAGGGCCUCACCGCCCUCCCAGGGAAGAAUUUCUUCCCAAAAUCCACUUCCAGCUGCCCUGCCAUGACCAGGGACAUCUGUAACUCGAGCAGAUUUCUCAGAUCCCCAUUGCUCAGCCCUGCCAUGCUCCUGGCUCCCCCUUCCACAGAGGAUUUAACCCCUUUUGUGUGCUUUUCCCCCUCUCAUCCAUCACAGCAGCUGCUUUCCUGCCCUGCAGAAGCUGCCGGGGCGGUCAGGAAACACGAUCUGCCCUGCAGGGCUGGGGAGGGAGAAGAGAGAGGAGAACAGCAGCAGUGAGGGCAGCAGGGAGCUGGGGGAUGUGGACGGGAUGCAAUGGGGUGUUUGGGGCAGCAGGAGCUGUGGGCUGGAUGCAGAGAGAGCUGCAGAUGAAGAGAAAUGCUCUGGAGCUGCAUUCCCGAGGAUGGAGCCUUGGGGUAGCACAGGGGGCAUUUUACUGAGAGGAGAAGGAUCCAUUCCCUGGAAGGAUCCAUUCCCUCCCAAGAGCAGCAGUUUCGGGGUUGCCUGCAGAGCCCCACCUCUGUCUGAGGGACACCUCACAGCAACCCCUCGGCUCAGCAAACCCUGCUGAGCUCCAGAGCACCUCCUCAAAGCCCAGCGGCGUUCUGGCCCUACCAAAUGCAGCAAUUUGCAUCCCAUCCGAAAGCCUGUGCACCCCUCAGUGCUGCAUCCCUGCGCUCCAUCCCCUCCUGGGCUGUUUCCUGGGGAGCUCAGAGGGUGUCAGCACCAGAGCUCUUUUCCCUCUUCCCAAGCCCUGACACUGUGCCAGAAUCCUGUUCCAACCACACGCAUUUCACGUUGAUUUCCAGUGUGGUUGAAAGGGGAGGAGGGGGAGAGGCCAUAAAUAUUCCUUCCCAGUGCUGCUGCCUGAGCCUGGGAAUACCUCAAGGCGUGGGAUGGGCUGUGUGGGGCUGGCUCUGUGGGACAGGCCUGUGCAGCCCCAGGGGGCUCCUUCAUCCCCCCAGAUGUGUCCCCACCGCUGGGUGAGUAAAUCCUCCCCUGGCAGGCAGAGUUUUGGGGAGCAGAGAGGACCUGGCCUUGCUCCUGGCACUGCCUCUAUUUUCAUAUUUCCACUUUCCCCCUGGCUCCAAGCACAGGGACAUGGAUGUAGAACAAACCCUUUUGUUCUGUAAUAAAGCAGCCGUUCCCUUCACCUUUUUGCAACAUUAUCCAUGAAAUUCGGACGUUCCUGAGUGUAUGUUCAGGAGGCUCCUCAGCCUGCAGCCACUGCCAGCACAGACCUGCCACAGUGACCCCUCUCAGCAGUCGUGGUUGGUCUGAAUUCAGCCUUCUGCUUGGUGUGACUCUGCAUGUCCCCUGCUGUCCCCACGGCAUGGGCCUGCUCCCUGCUACCAGCUGCAUUCUUUGCUUCCAACAUAUGGCCUCAAUUACUGUCCCUCUCCCUUGAUUUCCUGCCUCUCUGGGUUUCCUGAAGCUCAUCCCCUCCUCCUGGCAGCUUGAACUCCUGCAGUGAGAUGCUUUGCAAGCUCACAUUCCUCCCUCCCUCCUGCUGCUUUGCAGCCUCCACUGAGGGGGUUCUGAUCCAGAGCAGGCACAGAUGAGGCUCAGACCCCCCCCAGGUGCUGUCACUGAGCCCAGGAGCCCCAAGGGCCUGGCUGGCCACAGCCAAACUGCCCAGCCCAGUGUCCAGCAGGGCUUUGUCCAUCUCCUGUGGACAGAGGUCCCCACCCUCCCUCAGCAUCCAUCCCACAUCACCCUGUGGUUUUCAGCCAACUGCUCCAUUUGCAAGGCUCAGCCUCCUUUUUAUUGCCAUCCCCUCCUGAGGCCGGGGGCUUUCCAAGCCUCUGCCCUUUGAAAGGAGCACCAAACCUCUCUGGGUUUCCCCUGGGUGCUUUUUGGCCUCUUUCCUGGGCAUUUUCCCCUGCAGAAAAGCCAUGUGCCUCUCAAGGCUUUGGAGGAGGGGAGAGGGCUCUGCCAGUGGCUCUUCAGCCCCUUCCUGCCUCCCAGGCCCUGCAGCAUCAGAGUGCUGCAGAUCCUGAGGAAUCUGAGCUUGCUCAGGGCGCAGGGGGAGGUGGAAGUGGUUAAACCCCACAAACGCAGCAGUUAAUGAUUCCCAUCCCCUCGCUGGCAUGUCUCAGCCUUUGUGAAGGGCUCUGGCCAGCAGCUGUGCCAGCAACUGCAGCUCCAAAGGAGCAUUUUCUUUCUGUGUCAGCUUUCAUCCGUGGCCCCUCUGCGUUCCCCUGGUGCCUGCAGAUGCCAGAGUUUCCAGGGCUCCUGCUGCUACAAGUCCCUGGGACUUUUCCCUCCCAUCCCAGCGAUGGAGCUGUGUGAUGGGGAGAGUGAAGAAGGCACUGCUGGCUCCGUGUCUGCUCCCUGUCCCAUCCUCCCCCAAGCACAGGAGAGGCUUUUUCCCAGGACAGAAAGGACUCAGCAGCAUUUGGGAAUGGCAGGAACAGCUGAGAGGCUGCACCUCUGAUAGCAGAAGUGCAGGGGAGCAAUUUGGGAUGCGGCUGGGGAUAGCAACAUCGACAGCUGAGAGCUCCACAGCCACGUUCAGCUGCUGUGGCACCACUGUACAAUAAAAUUAAUAUAUUGUACAUAUACUAAUAUUCAUAUAUUAUAUAUUGUGUAAUAAACUGUAUUAAGCUGGGCACAGUUUUCUGAUUCUCCUACCCCCAGCAGGAACAGAUUGGUUGAGCAAUCACUGACAGAGUCCCCAUCCCUGGCAGCGUUCAGAAAGUCUGGAUGUGGCACUUGGGGACGUGGUUCAGAGGUGGACACAGCGGUGCUGAGAAUUUGAUGAUGUUAAAGUUGUCCUUUCCAACCUUACCGAUUCUGUGAUACCUUGAAAUGUGUGGCACCUCCCUAAAUUCCUCCUCACCUUCUCCUGAUGCCUCCUCCUGUUGCAAGCAGUGAUGGAAGCACGGAGAGGGAAAAGUCUAAAUUUCUGAAAUCAGACAUAAAGGGGUUUUUAGAAAUCCUUGUGUGCACACAAGCUGGAGGGGAGUGGAUGAAGCACAGAGGUGAGGAUCCAGGUCACAACACCCUUCCUCGGCCUGCCACCCCCCCUGAGUACUUUGGAAUGAAUUCAUUCCAGUUCCCAUGGGGCCACCACCCCGUCCCAUCCUCAGAGACCCUUCACAGCCCCCUAAACCCACCACAAGCAGUGGAAGACCCUCAAAAGCCCCAAUAGGUGCCAGUCACUCAAACCCGCCCCCAAAACCUGGAUCCCCGCCCCGGCGGUGAAUUUGGGCGGGUUUGCUGCCAGAGGAGCGUCCCCGCAGCCCAAACCCCGGCGCUGGGAGCUGGCUCCUUCCCAGGACACCCCAAAGCUCCAGGGGGAGCCAACGGGAGCCCCCAGCCCCUCCAGCCGCCCCUCGCUGCCCCCACGGCCGGCGCUGGCAGCCGGGUUCGCCCCCCACGCUGGUUUGGGGUGCCGGCAGGUGGCGGCCUGGGCAGGCGGCACGGGCAGCCUCUCGCAGAUGUUUAAUGGGAUUUCAGAGCUCUGGGAUUCAUCGGAGCUGUUGUCACGGAAACGCAGAUCUGCGAGAGCCCGGGCGCUCGGCGUUAACCCGCUCGGUGCCGGGGAGGAUGCGCCGGAGGGGAGCGGUGCGCGCCCGGAGCUCCCACCCCCGCCUGGCUUUGUAUGGUCAGCUGUUUUCUUUAGGAUUGGGGUUCUAAACGCCUUUUAAAAUCUGCCUCGGUGCUGCUGGAGCCCCGGGGCUCCAGGAGGAAUGUCCUGUCUCCUGCCUGCGUGUCCUGGUCCUCUCCUCAAGUUCGAGAGGUUCCCACACAACAAAAUGAGCUGGGCCAGUGGGUGAUCUUGGGUGCCAUUCUCCCAUCCGAGGGGGAAAUAUCCCACUAAUGCACAUCCCCACCCUGCUGGGCGCCUCCUCUGGGGCUGGGGCUGGACAGGAGAGGGCACCAGAGCUGCGCUGCCGCUGGGGCGGUGGCCGGGCAUGUGUCCCCCCCGCACGUGGCUCCCCCCGGGGUGACACCGCUGCCAGCGGGGAGGACCGGCAGCUGCGGCCGGGGCUAAUCUCCUUAGGGCUGAGCACGGGAGUGAAAGGGAGAUUAGAGGGCAAGGGGGCUUUGGCAGCCCGGGGUGCUUGUUGGAGACAGCCGGGCCGAGCAGAGAGGGACAGGACCCCGGGGGAGGUGAGAGGAGCAGCCAGAGAGGCCCCAGCGGGCAGCAAGUAACAGCUGGGGGCUCUGAGGAAGGGAAAGCCUGGAGGAACGUGCCCAAAAAUCCUCGUGGAGCAUUCCCCACCUCCUUCUCCCCAGGAGGAAGGUGUUGCCAGGCAGUCUGGGCCCUGAUCCAUUCCCUCUCAUCCGGAGGGGGGAGCUGGAUGCCUUCCACCCUCCCAUCACACUCAGGGGCAUGAAAACAUUCCCUAAAACAUAUCCAGAAUGGAAACCCCCUGGACUUUGCCCUGGGCAUGAGAUGUGGAAGAACAGGACAUGGAAUAUUUGCUGUCCUUUCCCAUGGCAGGGCAGGAAGAAGGUGCCAUUUUCUGGAGCAGGGCAGGGUGUGAGGCUGCUGCUCCCGAAGGCUCCUGAGGCGUUCCUGGGCUCCAUUCCCUGCUGCUGUCACGGCUCCUGUGCUUUCCCUGCCCGUGGCUGGCGGGGCAGGAGUGGUGGAUGUUCCACAGGGAGCUCUGCAGUCCUGCCCGAGCAGGGGAGCGUGGCAGGGCAGGGGGUGCUCACCGAGCUGUGCCUGUGCUGUGCUCCCUCCCACAGGGAGCUCCAGGGCUGCAGGGCAUGGAAAAAGGCAGUACCUGCUCUCACUGAGUAGUGUUUGUUCCUUCUCUCAGCUGUCAAGGAAACCACGGCCGCAUACCCAGCUGGGAUUGCUGCGGUUGCUGACGUGUUCUGGCCUUUUAAUCCGGAUCCAGAGCAGCUUCUCCACCCUCCAUUUGUGCUGGCUGACAGAGCACCUUCCACGGUGCCAUCGUCUGUUCUCCUGCCCAGAAUGGGGCCCAGAAUGGCAAAGUUUUUCUUAGAAUCAUAAAAUUACUGAACAGUUUGGGCUGAAAGGGACAUUUAAAGGUCAUCUGGUUCCAACUCCAACCAUCUUCCACCAGGGAAGAAGAGUGGGGGAGGAAGAUCUCUCAACCAACUUGGAAAAAGAAAACCAGAGCAGAGAGGAUCUCAAAAGGAUUUUCCUGGCCUGGAUGCUUUUCCAAUUGAACUCCAUGAACAGAGGGAUGCUCCACGUGUGUGCUGUCCAUGGAAUAUCUGCAGUAGUUAAAACCUCAAAGCCCCCUCUGAGAUCCAGAAAUCCCUGGGAAUGGAAAGAAAGGAAAGAGAGGAAGGAAAAGCGGAAACAGCAAAGCCAGCGAGGUGACAAGGAAUGGAGCAUCCCUGAGACCACCAGCUGCUCCAGCUGGACAUCGAUCCUGGAAAAAGGCAGAAAGCUGCUGGACCCGAAUGAGCCUUCACCCAGCAUCGCUUGGGACUGGCACAGACCUGGCUGCUGUCACAUCCCUGCAGGAGGAGGCAGGCUGACCCCAGGGUAAGAGCUGGGGCACUGGGAAGGUGGAGAAGGAAACUGGGUGACUGGAAUGCUCAUGGAGAGAGGGCAUUGGCACCCUCUGGUCUGGGAGAGCCCCCCAGGGGGGCUGAGCCAGGACAGGGUUGGCAGCAGGGGCUGGGGACAUGGCUGGGGUCACCAUUCCUGCAGGAGCCCCUGCACACCAGAGCACUCCUGGGAGCACUGGUCCCCCCAGGGUCACACAGAACUUUGGGAGCUCUUUGUUUUAAUGCACUUUUCACAGAAUCACAGAAAGGUUUGGGUUGGGGGGGACUUUAAUGCUCGCCUUGUCCCAACCCCACCAUGGGCAGGGACACCUCCCACUGGAGGAGAUUGCUCCGAGCUUUCACAUUCAAUAACUGUAAGAGCUCAAUAGUAACAAUAAUUCCAAAAUUUUCUCAGCAUUUGGGGAAUCCUGGGGCUCUUUAUCACUCCACGGGCUGGGAGCUCUAACAAAAGCCGAGCGAGCCGAGGACAGCGUGUCCCCUGCGCCAGGUCAGUCCCGCGGCCCCUCCCGGCACAGGGCAGGGCCACCGGUCCCUCCCGGCAGCGACAGCGCUGGGAGCGGCUCCUUGUGAGAGAGCCCGCUGCCCGCCCCCAGCGCUGUCCUGCUCUGCCAUCCCUGUGCCAUCCCUGUGCCAUCCCUGUGCCAUCCCUCUGCCAUCCCUGUGCCACCCCUGUGCCAUCCCUCUGCCAUCCCUCUCUCAUCCCUGUGCCAUCGCUGUGCCAUCCCUGUGCCAUCCCUGUGCCAUCGCUGUGCCAUCCCUCUCCCAUCCCAGGCCCUGCGGGUCCAGCAGAGCCGGAUCUGUGCAGAACGGCGGGCACGGACGGGCCCUUGGGAGGAGGCGGGGCCGUUUCUGCACAGGAGCUCUGUGCUGGAAAGGGGGAAGGGAGAGAAGAAGGGGGAAGGGAAAUGAUCUCCCCUUUAGAAAGGAGAUUUUAGAAGGCAGAUUUUGCUCUGGUUCAGCCUCUGGCCGCUGUCCAGUGCUGCCUUGGGAAGGCUGACCUGGAACAGGGACUGGACAGAGCUGGAGAAUAAAGUAGAUAUUUAUUGAAAAACUUUUAGGGUACACCUUGGGCAGGACAGGGCCUGGCCAGAGAUACACCCAAGGUGGACCCAAAAUGACACAAAAUGGACAAAUGGUCAUGAGGUCUCACACUUUGAUAAGCUUUGGUCCAUUUGCAUAUUGGGGUUAAUUAUCCAAUUACAGCUUCAGGUGAUGCAGUCCCAUCCUUCCUGUUCCUCCCUUCAGCCACCCUUGUUUGUGCUUUUGGGCCUGAAAACUUGUACCAGUCGUCCUUGGUCUCCAUUUCUUCUUUUCUCUUGGAAAAGGAUUUGUUUUGUGUCCCUGCUCUGUGAAGAGAGCUGACACUGAGUGUGAGGCUUAGAACUGCACCCCUGGGCAGCACAGAAUCCAAAAAACAGGAAAGCUGAAGGCAUCACCAGGGACUCCCUGCUCAGACCUGGGUGAACCACAGCUCCCCUGUGGCUGCAGGGGUGUGGGAUGGAGCACUGGACACACGGCUUGGCCCCCUCCCAUCCCUUCAGGAGGGGGUGAGGGAGUCAAGAAGGGCGGGUAGGACAAUUAAGGCACUGGUCUCGCUGCCUUCCCAGCACCUGGGCUGUGAGAGGGCUCCUUGUGGGGCUGUGCCACCCUCAUGGCAGGGUGCCAGUGCUGGUCAGGGAAGGCAGGAGCUGCCAAAUGCCCUGGAAAGCUUCAAAGUGUGAGAGAAAUUGGGAUAUGUGAGCUGAAUCCGAGCCAGCCUGGAGCCCUGCCUGGGGGCCUGCAUUUCCUUGUAGCAGCUCCCUUUUCUUCCUGGCUGUGCAGCUGUGGGAAAGGGAUGCUCUGAGAGCUCGGUGUUACCAUGACAGCUUCUAUGUACAAAAAAAUGGAGAAAUAAACAUGA